rnacentral:rRNA from 1 species
AGGAUGAACGCUGGCGGUGUGCCUAAUACAUGCAAGUCGAACGGAAUCUUAAUAUUCCUUGUUUCGGACUUGCGCGUUUAAACACAUGCAAGUCAGAACUAUGGAAUUGUGAGAUUUAGUGGCGAACGGGUGAGUAACACGUUGGUACCUGCCCCGAAGUGGGGAAUAACUGCCCGAAAGGGUAGCUAAUACCGCAUAUUGCCGAAAGGUGAAAGCAGUAAUGCGCUUCGGGAGGGGCCUGCGUCCCAUUAGCUUGUUGGUAGUGUAAUGGACUACCAAGGCGACGAUGGGUAGCUGGAUCGAGAGGUUGACCAGCCACACUGGGACUGAGAUACGGCCCAGACUCCUACGGGAGGCAGCAGUAAGGAAUCUUCCACAAUGGACGAAAGUCUGAUGGAGCAACACCGCGUGCAGGAUGAAGGCUUUCGGGUCGUAAACUGCUUUUAUAUGGGAAGAUUAUGACGGUACCAUAUGAAUAGGACGGCUAACUACGUGCCAGCACG